rnacentral:lncRNA from 1 species
CAUAAACCAAUUUCUCACAUUGAACAAUGAAAAUACAAAAGACAAACAAAUAUAUAACUCAAGAUACCCAUUUUAGCAUGCCGGUUCAGAGAUAAACAAUGAUAGCCAUAGAGCAAAAAUUUAGCAUGAUAUUUAAGAGUAACAUCAUAUCCCUACACAUAAAACACAAAGAAAAUACAGGAACAAGAGAUGGAAGAACCUUUUUAUUAAACUGAAUUUGAACUUUGUUUGUUGGACAACUUGUAACUUAAAGAGCGACCGAGCCACGAACAAACACCUCAAUCGGAGAACUCGCCGGCGACAAAAAUCGAUGUCCUCGAACAGACUAAUUUCUAUUGGGUUUGGAUGAUAGUUUCAAACUGAUUUUUCCACUUGUUUGGGAUAUUUUUUGGGUCGAUAUUUUUUGGGUGGGCUUGGAGGAAUUGGGGAAUGAAGGGAAACGGGUACUUGGGAAGUGUUCAUGUGAGUUCGCUGCUCUUUGUCCCUACCCGUAUAUGUGUGUGCCCCUUCAAUUUUGAGAUAAAGAAGAUGAUCAAUAUCCAAGGGGAAUGGCCACUAGCUUCUUUUAAAAUUAAUAACAAGAAGAAGAAUGUUAGCGAUUUUAAAAAUAUAGUAGGAAAAUGGAAUUAGACACAGGGAUUGAUUUACUAGAAUUUAU